UGUUUCUGUCCCCAGGUUCAUUCAAGUUCUACAAACAAAGGGUCAGGGAAAUACCAUCUAUUUAUCCGAUUACUGUUGACACUGACAUUCUUGCCACUUCAACAUCAAUGGUCUGGUCAACAUCACCACCAAAAGUCCAAAACAAAGAGGGCUCACGUUGGUUGGACCUGGCAUUUGCCUCUUUGGUCUUCUCAUGGCAAAACCUAUACAGGCUCCGCUCGCCUCUGUGUCCUCCAAACAAUCAUGAUGAUCACAAUAAAUAUGACUCGACGACAGUACGCCCAAACUUCUGUUGGACAUCCUUCGGGGUUUCAAUCUGGAAGCAAAAUGAUUGAAAAAUUUGAGAAGAUGAUCUAUAAA
rnacentral:misc_RNA from 1 species